rnacentral:rRNA from 1 species
GACGAACGCUGGCGGUGUGCUUAACACAUGCAAGUGGUGCGACGAACCAGAGCUUGCUCUGGGGCAAAGCCGCGAACGGGUGAGUAACACGUGGGGUAAUCUACCCCGAUGACCGGGACAACCCGAGGAAACUCGGGCUAAUACCGGAUGUGGUACGGAGACAUAAGUCUCUUUACUAAAGGUAGCUUCGGCUUCCGCAUUGGGAGGGGCCCGCGGCCCAUUAGCUAGUUGGUGGGGUCAAGGCCUACCAAGGCAACGAUGGGUAGCUGGUCUGAGAGGACGAUCAGCCACACUGGGACUGAGACACGGCCCAGACUCCUACGGGAGGCAGCAGUGGGGAAUCUUGCGCAAUGCGCGAAAGCGUGACGCAGCAACACCGCGUGAGGGAAGACGGCCUUAGGGUGUAAACCUCUUUCAGAUGGGACGAAGGUGAUGCGGUGAAUAGCCGAUGUCAUUGACGGUACCGUCAGAAGAAGCUCCGGCUAACUACGUGCCAGCAGCCGCGUAAU